GCUCAACCGGGGAGGGUCAUUGGAAACUGGGGAACUUGAGUGCAGAAGAGGAGAGUGGAAUUCCACGUGUAGCGGUGAAAUGCGUAGAGAUGUGGAGGAACACCAGUGGCGAAGGCGACUCUCUGGUCUGUAACUGACGCUGAGGCGCGAAAGCGUGGGGAGCGAACAGGAUUAGAUACCCUGGUAGUCCACGCCGUAAACGAUGAGUGCUAAGUGUUAGAGGGUUUCCGCCCUUUAGUGCUGCAGCAAACGCAUUAAGCACUCCGCCUGGGGAGUACGGUCGCAAGACUGAAACUCAAAGGAAUUGACGGGGGCCCGCACAAGCGGUGGAGCAUGUGGUUUAAUUCGAAGCAACGCGAAGAACCUUACCAGGUCUUGACAUCCUCUGACAACCCUAGAGAUAGGGCUUCCCCUUCGGGGGCAGAGUGACAGGCGGUGCAUGGUUGUCGUCAGCUCGUGUCGUGAGAUGUUGGGUUAAGUCCCGCAACGAGCGCAACCCUUGAUCUUAGUUGCCAGCAUUCAGUUGGGCACUCUAAGGUGACUGCCGGUGACAAACCGGAGGAAGGUGGGGAUGACGUCAAAUCAUCAUGCCCCUUAUGACCUGGGCUACACACGUGCUACAAUGGGCAGAACAAAAG
rnacentral:rRNA from 1 species